CCUACGGGGGGCAGCAGUGAGGAAUAUUGGUCAAUGGACGCAAGUCUGAACCAGCCAUGCCGCGUGCAGGCAGACGGCUCUAUGAGUUGUAAACUGCUUUUGUACGAGGGUAAAUCCCGAUACGUGUAUCGUGUUGAAAGUAUCUUACGAAUAAGGCUCGGCUAACUCCGUGCCCGCAGGCGCGGUAAUACGGAGGGUUCAAGCGUUAUCCGGAGUUAUUGGGUUUAAGGGGUUCGUAGGUGGUUCGAUAAGUUAGAUGUGAAAUCCCGGGGCUCAACUCCGGGACUGCCGCUGAUACUGUCGGGCUAGAGUGUAGUUGCGGUAGGCGGAAUGUGUGGUGUAGCGGUGAAAUGCAUAGAGAUCAUACAGAACACCGAUUGCGAAGGCAGCUUACCAAACUACGACUGACGUUGAGGCACGAAAGCGUGGGGAGCAAACAGGAUUAGAUACCCUUGUAGUC
rnacentral:rRNA from 1 species